CAACCUCCCACCCGUGUUUAUUUUACCUUGUUGCUUCGGCGGGCCCGCCUUAACUGGCCGCCGGGGGGCUUACGCCCCCGGGCCCGCGCCCGCCGAAGACACCCUCGAACUCUGUCUGAAGAUUGUAGUCUGAGUGAAAAUAUAAAUUAUUUAAAACUUUCAACAACGGAUCUCUUGGUUCCGGCAUCGAUGAAGAACGCAGCGAAAUGCGAUACGUAAUGUGAAUUGCAAAUUCAGUGAAUCAUCGAGUCUUUGAACGCACAUUGCGCCCCCUGGUAUUCCGGGGGGCAUGCCUGUCCGAGCGUCAUUGCUGCCCUCAAGCACGGCUUGUGUGUUGGGCCCCGUCCUCCGAUCCCGGGGGACGGGCCCGAAAGGCAGCGGCGGCACCGCGUCCGGUCCUCGAGCGUAUGGGGCUUUGUCACCCGCUCUGUAGGCCCGGCCGGCGCUUGCCGAUCAACCCAAAUUUUUAUCCAGGUUGACCUCGGAUCAGGUAGGGAUACCCGCUGAACUUAAGCAUAUCAA
rnacentral:rRNA from 1 species